rnacentral:rRNA from 1 species
UAGUCCAUGCCGUAAACGAUGAUCACUCGAUAUUGGCAUUUAUGUCAGUGUCCAAGCGAAAGUAUUAAGUGAUCCACCUGGGGAGUACGAUCGCAAGGUUGAAACUCAAAUGAAUUGACGGGGCCCGCACAAGCGGUGGAGCAUGUGGUUUAAUUCGAUGCAACGCGAAGAACCUUACCUACUCUUGACAUCCAGAGAACUUUCCAGAGAUGACUGUCUUCAGUUCGGCUGGCUUCCACACAGGUGCUGCAUGGCUGUCGUCAGCUCGUGCCGUGAGGUGUUGGGUUAAGUCCCGCAACGAGCGCAACCCUUAUCCUUAGUUGCCAGCACAUAAUGGUGGGGACUCUAGGGAGACUGCCGGCGUAAGCCGCGAGGAAGGUGGGGGACGACGGUCAAAUCAUCAUGGGCCUUUAUGCCUAGGGGCUACACACGUGCUACAAUGGUGCAUACAGCGGGUA